UCUCUUUUGGAGAUCCCUCCUUUGGAGUUUUACAGCGAGCUCAGGACAAGGGAUCAAAAAGAAGGUGAAGCGUUCUUGUGUCAGCAGAAAGCUGAUUUUGGGGAUGGGAAGAUAACGCGCUGAAAUUUCUAAUAGUAACAAAAGACUUCAAAGAAACCUGCAGGAACUGACCCUGCUGUGGACUCCACAGUGAUGGCAACCUGAAAGAGCCACCAGAGAUAAGUCUAUCACGAACAAACGACUCUGCAGCUCCAACCCCAUGUACACAAGAGCUUGCCUGCCAGCCUUCCCAGCAGCCCAAUGUGCUGAGAGAGGCAGCUUGCUCCCUGCAAAGCCCGGCUGCCUGCUCUGCCUAGCAGAGGAUGCAGAGCAGCCCCACAGGGACUGUGGUGUGGAUGUCCAUCACCAGUCCUGUCAGACCAGCACUUGAACUUCUGUGAGAUAUAGGUGAUUUCUAAAUUUGUUUCCGAGGCUGCUUGCAAUAAUAAAAUGGAAAAAAAAAAAAAGAUACUGACAGAACCACAGGGAAAUAUGAUCUGAUGUAAAACCACAGUGGUUUUUUACUUUUUUGGAAGGCUUUGUAAUGUGUUUGAAUUGGCCACCUUGCUAUCUUUGGCAGCAACUGCUAAUCCCUCUGUGUCCUUAGCUGGUGUCCUUGAUACUCCAAAUUAGCUAAUAUUUUUAGAAGAUUUUAACUUUUAUUCUUGA